rnacentral:rRNA from 1 species
GAUGAACGCUGGCGGCGUGCCUAAUACAUGCAAGUCGAGCGAACGGACGAGAAGCUUGCUUCUCUGAUGUUAGCGGCGGACGGGUGAGUAACACGUGGAUAACCUACCUAUAAGACUGGGAUAACUUCGGGAAACCGGAGCUAAUACCGGAUAAUAUUUUGAACCGCAUGGUUCAAAAGUGAAAGACGGUCUUGCUGUCACUUAUAGAUGGAUCCGCGCUGCAUUAGCUAGUUGGUAAGGUAACGGCUUACCAAGGCAACGAUGCAUAGCCGACCUGAGAGGUGGAUCGGCCACACUGGAACGGAGACACGGUCCAGACUCCUACGGGAGGCAGCAGUAGGGAAUCUUCCGCAAGGGGCGAAAGCCUGACGGAGCAACGCCGCGUGAGUGAUGAAGGUCUUCGGAUCGUAAAACUCUGUUAUUAGGGAAGAACAUAUGUGUAAGUAACUGUGCACAUCUUGACGGUACCUAAUCAGAAAGCCACGGCUAACUACGUG